UUGGGAAGGAGGAGUGAUGUGGAAUCUGUUCCCCCCUUCAACUGUCAGUAGUGAGCUCACAGAAGCUCCUGUCUGAAUCAUUCAGUUUUGUGGUGAUCUCUCAGCGGCCGCUUGUUUUUUGUUUUUGUGUGCACUUCUGUUUUUGUCUCUUUUGAUUGUCUUUCUGUGUGACUGAAUACUGUUUGUCCUCUUUGUCAGAUCUCUAUUUUCUAGACUCUCUUCUUUUUUCUCACCACCCCACUUUAGAUGCUUGUUAGUGGCUGUUAUAUGGAUGGAAGGCCCUCACUUCUGCCUGUUGACUUCAAUACGUCUGACAGUAGGGAGGGCCUGGUAUACAGCCAGGCUCCAAUGGUGGGUCUCUGAGGGGCUGGAUAAUGCCCCACCAUUUUCUAAGAAAUCAUUGAAAGCCCAACUUUUAACUGAAAACCAACUUCAUGUACCACUCCCAAAAUGAGUGAGCAGGUCUCAUACUCAACUGUGAGAUUUAAAAAGUCUUCAGGCUUACAGAACCAAGUGAGGUCUGAGGAGACUCAAGGGGCCAAAAAGCUGGCCACAGAAUUUUUCAGUAUGCUCACGAAAAGCAUGGGCUGCAUGAAACUCUAAGCUGCAAGUAUAACUGCACAACCAUGCAAAAUGACAUCGAUUUAAUGGAAGAAAUGCUAAGAAAUAUGUCUAUAGAUUGCUGACAAGGCAAUGACCUUCUGCAAUAUCUAAACAGAGAACAGAAAAGAUGGUACAGUGAAACUAAGUCUGUUAUACCUUCCUCUCAGCACACAGGCAAAAAUGUUGAAAUACACUGGUUCUGCUAUGGUAUAAAAUGUUAUUAUUUAAUCCUGGACAAAAAAGCAUGGAAUGGAUGUAAACAGACCUGCCAGGAUUCCAGCUUAUCCCUUCUGAAGAAAGAAGAUGAGGACAAACUGGUAUUGUAGACACUUGCCCCUUCAUUCUGUUCGAUUUUUUCUCUAACCCUGAAUAAUGAGAUCCUAAAUCCAUAUUUUUCAUGUGUAUGUGAUUUUCCUGUAAUAUGAACAAAACUGUGGGACAAGUGUUCGUUAGGGGGAGACUCAUUACUACAGAUACCCUUAGGUCUUUCAGUCUACUCACUUUCUCAGGAGCCUAAAAGAGAGUCCCUCAGAAAGCAUGCCUUUUACUGAUUAAGUUUAAAUCUUUCGUACAACACAUCCUUUGGCUGAGAGUUAUUUUCUACAUAUAAUUCUAAACAAACUCCUUCUGUCUAAUAUUUGCUCUUUGCAACUGGAAAUGAGACUUCCAGAGAUGAGAAAUCAGAUGCCAAAAGGGAAAGUAACUGACCUCUGUGCCUGUUUGUAAUAUGAGAUGAUAUGAAAAAUGUGUAAUUAAGUGGUUGAUCUGUUAGGACCAUCGUGAUUUUCACUGAAUCUAACCCUACCUUUACUGUACAGUAUUCUUAUGUUUUUUUAAUUUCAAUAUCUGACAUUUCCUGUUUUAAUUAUUACUAAUGACAUCUCAUUGAAGACUGUAUUUUCAUGGAGAAAUGAUUGCAGGUUCACUUUGAAAACAUUGUUAUUUAUGACAUAGUAUGUUAUUUAUAUAUCAAUUUUAUACGUGUUCAAAUAACAACAUAAAAGAAUAUUUAAUUACAAAUAAUAUAGCUAGUAUCCACUUGAUACAUUAAAUAUAACCAG
rnacentral:sRNA from 1 species